rnacentral:rRNA from 1 species
UACAGUGGCGUACGGGUGAGUAACACGUGGAUGAUCCACCUCUUUGUGGGGAAUAACUUUGGGAAACCGAAGCUAAUACCGCAUAAGCCUGGAAAGGGAAAAGGCCGAAAGGCGCAGAGAGAGGAGUCCGCGGCUGAUUAGCUAGUUGGUGAGGUAAAGGCUCACCAAGGCGGAGAUCGGUAGCCGGCCUGAGAGGGCACACGGCCACACUGGCACUGCAACACGGGCCAG